UGCCACAUGUUCAGGCAAUAAAUUGGUUGUAACAGAGCUGCUUCCUGCACUCUGCUGAGUAGAAGUAUUCCAACUGAGACAAUAACUGGCAAAAUAAGAUUGACAAACUCUGGUCUCCAUUCACUGAUAAAGUUACCUGAAUCUCAGUUUAAGACUACAGUAUGGUUACCAGGAUUUCUCAAGUACUUCCGCAAUGCUGCUCCGCUCAGGCCGCCAAAAGCCGUACAAAGUACCUAGCAGGAGAAGGCAAUCUGUUAAAUAUCUACUGAAGACUGGCAAAGCAGCUCCAGAAAAGUCAGGGUUUAGUCUACGAGAAACAGUAAAAUGUUACAUACUGACAGAAGAUUCAAAAACUGUCCAUUUUGACUUAGAUGAACAUGGUCAUCAUGAAAUAUCCACCAAGGAUUCACAAUCCCAUGAAGAUAUCGCAUGGUUAAGCGUGUUCACAAGCAAUGACUCAACAGUUUGUGGUAAGACUCGGAUGACUGAAGUGGAAAGAAAAUUAUCUCAGGAAAGUGCUAAAAAUCUGGUGAUCCUCACGCAGAGAUCAAAGCUUAAUGAAUUUGUCCUGUUGUGCAAGGGUGAAAAGCAGCUCUCUCUAAAGGUCUUAAAAGCACGCUGUUCAAAACCAGAUUAUGCUAAAGUGAAAAGAUGCAACACGAAAAUAUGCAAGCAUGAAGAUCCUGACUUCGAACAGCUGAGUGAAGACAAUCUCUUUUUCAUCAUGCAUUGCCAAGGAGAUUCAGUGAAGUUCCAAUGCUAUGAAGACACAAGUUACUAUCUGCAUGUGAAUGAGGACUCACUUGACAUACGCAAGCCAGAAGACACAGAACCUGAUGGGGAGAAAAAUUUUUACUUCAGGGUGUCAUAUUUGUAGGAAAAGUAAUUUGUCUACCUUUCAGUGGCCUAAGUGUCCAUAAAACUCCUAUAAUAAGCUAACAGAAAAGAUUGAGAUCAUAUAGAACUAAUCUCUAUUUUGCCUUUUUUAUGACUUUUUUUUACCAUCUUGAGUCACAAUUUUCCAUUUUAUGAGUGACAUCCUUUAGUUCUGUUCUGUACAAUAGGAAGAGAAAAUGGUUAAGUUUGGAAAGCAAAGUCUGCUGGUAUUUUAUCUGCACAAUUAUUGUUUUGAGUAGCUGAGUUCUUCCUGAAGGGGAAAAAUAAACAGAGCUUAUCUCAAAAACA
ensembl:lncRNA uncharacterized LOC112981639